UCUCUCUCUCUCUCUCUCUCUAGCACUCUUCUUUUCUUUGACCUCCCUUUACGCUUUCUCUUCUUUUAAACCCCAAUCUCAUAUCAGCUUCUCGAUCGGUUCUAAGGCAAAAAGGGUGAAAUUCUCAUCCUGAAAUUUGGUAUUUACCUCAAUCACGGAGCUUAGAUCUAAAUUUCCAACCAUUCAGCAACAAUGUCCUUUGCUCGGAAUUACCAUUCACAAGGUAAUUACCAUUCGCAAGGUGGCACUCUCCACGAUGAUCGUUGGUCCUCUUUCAAUAGAAACAACUACAGUAACAGGAACAGGAGUAUGAACACAAAUAGGAACGACAAUUACAACCAUAACUGGAAUUAUAACCAUUUCCAUGAAUUCCCAGGAAAAUUCAGGGACCACAUAAACAACAGUAACAAUUAUGUUAACAUUUCUAGUGGUGCCCCAUCCUUCAAAAGGAGAAAAUUUAGUGCUGGCACCUGGGGAGACACUGGGAGACACUUUGUGCAGCAGAUCACUUAUGAAACCACUGUUCCUUCAACCUACAACAAUUCUGUCCCUUCUACAAGAUCAAAUGCUGAGACCUCUACGUCUACCAGCUGCAAACGUGACCGCACAAAAUUGGAAGAUGAUGAACCUGCAUUUAUGUCCAGGGAUGAGAUUGAGAGACACUCCCCAUCGAGAAAAGAUGGUAUUGAUGCACUACGGGAAACACAUUUGCGGUAUUCUUACUGUGCAUUCCUUCAGAAUCUUGGACUGCGGCUUGAUUUGCCACAAACCACUGUUGGUACUGCCAUGGUUUUGUGCCAUCGUUUUUUUGUGCGAAGAUCACAUGCUUGCCAUGACAGAUUUUUAAUUGCUACUGCUGCUAUUUUUCUUGCUUCAAAGUCUGAGGAGACACCACGCCCUUUGAACAAUGUACUGAGAGCUUCUUGUGAAAUUUUUCACAAGCAAGAUAUGACUUUUUUGUCAUACAUUCUCCCUGUUGAUUGGUUUGAACACUACCGGGAGCGAGUGAUUGAAGCUGAGCAAAUGAUACUGACAACUCUAAAUUUUGAACUUAAUGUGCAGCAUCCAUAUGCUCCACUGACAUCUGUCCUUAACAAAUUAGGGUUUUCACAAACAGUUUUGGUGAACCUGGCCUUAAACUUGGUCAGUGAAGGGUGAGUUUAUCACUUCCAUUGUUAUGUACUGUAUUGAAUAUUAGAUUUUUGAAGGUGCUGUGCAUUUGUCAUCAGUUAGUGUUAGUGACAAAAUGAAUGAGCUCUCAUGGACCUAACUAAUAUGCUAUGAUUCUGAUCUUGCUUCUUUCUUCAGGAAGCUAUUUGGUUUGGCUCUGCUUUAGAUAUAUUUACGUGUGGAUUUCUAGAGAGUAAUUUGGGUAAAGUCACUGUUUGGUUUAGGAAGUGGAGUUGUGGCUCUAGUGAUUUGUCUAUGUAGAUUUGGCUGGUGAGUGUUUGAAUCUCAACCAAUGAGAACUUUGUUGAGGUUUUGUGUUACUUGGGUGAUUGGGCCAAGGAAGAGGAACUACUGGGUUUCUUCUUGUUCUCUUUUGGUUCAAAUUGCUUAUACUUGUGCCAGUAAUUUUCUUCUUUUGAGCAACUGCUCUGCCUAGUAAUUCUGGUAUGGAAUAUUGAUUCUUUUGGCAUGGCAUAUAAUUGCAGGGUCUACACAAGAUUAGCGUGCUUAUUAGCUGGCGGAUUGAUAUGCUGUGCAUGGAAAGUUUUUUUUUUAACCUCUGAAGUUGAACUGCCGAUAUGUUGUGGAUCACAUAACCAUGAUUAUAUACCCCAUCAACCCGGUUAUCUGCUAUAAAGAUAGCCUCAGAAAUUCCAUAACCAUUUUGCUAUUUAACUUCUUCCAUUUUCCAUUUUUUUAUUUGGACAAUUUUCUGGGCCCUUCAUACAAACUUCUAGUUUGUGAAGCCUGGUUGCUUUUCCAGCUGUUGUCCCUUCACACAAUUGGGAGGAAUUCUAUUGAUUGGGCUUGGGUCAAAGACCAAGUAUGGUCAUGUCCUCCCUGCAUUAAAUGAUUUUUUUAUACACGCUUGCUCUAAAGAUUUAUGCUAGUUGUCUUCCAUCUAACAUGUGUCUAUAGUUGCAUCUUUUAUUAUAAAACCAUUUUGGAUUUUUUGCCUGAUCCUUUUUUUUACAUUUCUCAAGCUUUUGUAAAAUUAUGGCCUUUUUUUAGUUCAAUUUCAUAGACGAAAAAUAUUUUUUCUGAAAGGGACAGUUCAAACAUUUGCCAACAAGUAUUUCCAUUUGAUAAAGGAGUGUCAACUGGUUGUGCAGUUGCAUAGUAUGAUCUAUUUUUGAGUUCAAUUGUAUGUUCUGAAAUGGUACUUGUGUAACUGUUUGGCAUGAACCUGUCAUUUUUUAUGGUAUAUUUCAAAAAUUUGUCAAUCUUAUCAGCGUAAACCAUGUAUAGAUUGGGGAUACAACGUACAAUUCCACCUAUUUAUGUACUGGCCUCAUCAUGAAGGUUUAUAUUAGUUGCUCACAGCAUAUAUUAUCCAGUACUUGUGGGUACCUAGACUUGAACCUUUUAUUGACCAUGGUGAAGACCUUCACAUUGGGAGACAACUAUGUUAUAGCAUACUCAAUCACUUAAAUGGACUUCCUAAUACUGCUGGGAGCAUGGACAGAGAUGGCCUAUAUUUGACUUAAUCUUUUUUUAGUCUUAAUUAAUAUAUACACAUAAAAAUUAUAUUAUGCUAUAUGCAUGAAAUAUGUUCUCAUUAUCUCUUAUCAUUCUGUUUCUGGACUUCUCUUCUUGCUGUCACAUCUUUCUAUCGUCAAUAGUAAUCUAGUAUGUUAGUUCUUUAUUAAAGAUGAUGCUUAUAAGCUUAUUAUCUUUCUGUUCAGUUUUUAUUAGAAGAGGAUACUUGUUAUCUUUUUUCUUUUUUUUUAUAAAAAAAGGGAAUACCUAGUAUACUUUUCUGUUUAAUGUUUUUCAUCUUUGUCAAGUACUUGCAUAAAACAGUGUUUUUAUUAAUCCAAAAUGAAGAAAUUAUUUGGAUGAAGAAGAAGGCAUACUCCAUUGAGAGCAUAGGUUUUAAAGGUGUGCUUGAGGCACAAUGUGCGCAUGGUGCAGUCCUAGUGCCUCUACCAGGCUAAGGCAGGCGCCUUCAACCGGUGUUCACUCUUUCCUAGGCACAAUGCAUAGGAAAGGCUUAAUUUGCAAGUUUUUGGUUGGGACACUAAAAGGGGAAAAAAAGAACAAAAAAUAUCGGUCACAACCUACAGUAAUAAACUCAUUAUCUUGUUGUGGAAGGUAAAAAUCACCACAAAAAUAAUUUUUUUCCAUUUCUUUUUUCUCCUAAUAAUUUGAUUUCAUUUCUUUGCUACCUUUACUUUGCGGUUAUUUUAACAUAUUUACAUGGUCAUAUGUUAUCCGCAGACAAGGUGCGGUUAUUUUAACAUAUUUACAUGGUCAUAUGUUAUCCGCAGACAAGGUGCAGUUUUAUCCUUCCCACACGUCUCCCUCAUUUGUUUAUGUGAUAAGUUUAUGGGGUGUAACCAUUUCAGAGAGUUUGUUUGUUGGUGUAGGAUUUCAAAUAUUACACUGUGUCUGUGGACAACAUAAAAUAUUAAACUUAGUAUGUAUGUGUCUCUCUUUCUAUCUUUUGGUGCUUAAUUGAAGUUAAUAAAUGAACUAAUUUAUUUAGGUAUGGUGCUUUAAGGUGCCUAAAGGAAAGAAGAUGGCUUGUCACUAUUCUAGAAGUUGAUUUACAUUUUUGUUUUGUAUAUGUAAAUGUAUUUUGUGUAGCUUAUUAAAUUCCUUAAAUGCUUUUGACCAAUCUGAGAGCUAAAAGGUGGGGAAGAGAAAGGGUGAGGAAAUGUUCUACUUCUCAAACCUCUUUUUUGGGAGAAGAGGCUGCAAAAUAGAAAAGAAAGAAAAUAGCACUACUUGAUUAAUCCUCACAGAUAACAAGACUAAUAGGCGGCCUUUCUUUUGUGUUUCAAUAGCACUACCAAGCUAGUUUUAUCAUGGUGGUGUCAGUUUGGUGUCUGUACCUACUGCUUUGUUAAGCUUAGUAUGCCUGUUGCUGUUUGUUCUUGCAUUCUGAUUCAUCUAAGCAAUUAUUUAACUGAGAUAAAAACUAAGUAUAAUGCCGAAUGUGAUUUUCUUUGGCCUGUUUUGAUUAAUGUCUAAUUAUCUCCAUGCAGAUUAUAAAUUGGACAAGUACAUGUUAUGGUUAAUAUUAAUUGAAAUAAAUGUAAUUUAACCUGACUAAAAAUAUAAUCUUAUUAUUAACUUCUUUUUGUUUCAUUCGUUCACCAUGUGGACUUCCAAAGGUUGUCAAGCUUGACUCCUGUAUUACUAAAAAAUAUAUUCUCUUGAGAAGUGAUUUCUGGCGUUCUGGCUGCUUGUAAUAAAAUGCCUCCGCAGUCCAGCUAAAAAUUUUACAUCACAAUGCAGACACACUUACACAAAUGCUUCUGGAAUUCAGGUGCAAUUUUAUUCAGUGAGAAAAGAGCCUCGAAGAUUGGGUCAGGGUAGUCAUGUGUAGGGCCUAUCUUUUAUGUUAAUAAAAGAAAAUUUGAAGUGUGGAUUUUCCUUUAUUUUUUUAAAAAAAAUUUUUAAAGGAAAAAAGAAACAAUCUUUCAGGGUUAAACCUGAUCAUCUUUUCUAAAUACAACCACCUUUGGCCCUGGAGGUGGGGUGGGGGAGGUGGUUUGUACACUUCCAUGGAACAUAUGUGGAGAUUGUGGGGAGCAAAGUUAUUAAGACAAUGUUACAACUGCCCUCUGCAGUGGGUGAGAUGCCCUCCUGACAUGCUUUCUUGCCUGUUGCCUCUUCCAUCUGUGCGAUUCUCAAUUUUUUUUUUUAAAUGCUUAUAAAUUUUUUUAGAUCGGUUGCAGCUUUUAGUAACAGAAAGUAUGGUUUAAUUUUGUUCUUGAUCAUUGAACUUUGAAUUUUUUUUUUCCAAUAAGGUCACCAUUGCCAAAUUUUUGUAGAGAUUUUAGCCCCCUUUUUUGGUUUUUGCUAACUAAGAAAUAGAAUAUUCUUAAUUCUACAGCUACAUUAGAAAAAUUUUACUUUGGUAUAAAAAAAAAAGGAUUCUAUGAAAACCUAACAACAUUGACCUUAUUGAAACAAAAUUAUAAAGUUACUUUGCUGAUGCAAAUUGAAGUUUAAUGAUUAUGCUGAAAUAAUGAUAAGUUCAAUAAUCAUUGAUGAAAUUCAGCCUUUUCAUAUUUCAAUCAAAGUUUUAGAACUCAGCAUGUAUUUGGAGCGUGGGUGUGUGUGUGUGUGUGUGUGUG
rnacentral:misc_RNA from 1 species